UGUGUUAUAAACUGCGAUGUCUCGAACUAAAUUGUAUAUGACAUGUAGUGUGAGCAGUUCCUUUUCUCGUUCACGUCCGCUUCAGAACCUCUUCCGAUCUGGACUACCCGGAUUUCGCUUGGCCCACACAGCUUCCCUACACCCGAACGGGUUGGAGUCACCGCAACAUAGGCCUUAAACGAAACGGCAAUUCGCCAGGAAGAAAGUUUCCCGACUAGCGUGUCAACACGGCGAAGUGCUCCGAGUCUUCUGCAUUCGCAGCCGCCCUGACCCAAGGAAGGAGGACAUCCUAGCCGCUUUGAAGCAGAGAAUCUUCAGGAAAGGCCUGUUUCUCGACCAGUGCCUCUACCCGGCGACGAGCUCCGAGUCUUCUACAAGUAAGUAAUAUUUCGCCGGGC